GCGAGUCGAGCGAUCGAUGGGAGCUUGCUCCCUGAGAUUAGCGGCGGACGGGUGAGUAACACGUGGGCAACCUGCCUAUAAGACUGGGAUAACUUCGGGAAACCGGAGCUAAUACCGGAUACGUUCUUCUCUCGCAUGAGAGAAGAUGGAAAGACGGUUUACGCUGUCACUUAUAGAUGGGCCCGCGGCGCAUUAGCUAGUUGGUGAGGUAAUGGCUCACCAAGGCGACGAUGCGUAGCCGACCUGAGAGGGUGAUCGGCCACACUGGGACUGAGACACGGCCCAGACUCCUACGGGAGGCAGCAGUAGGGAAUCUUCCGCAAUGGACGAAAGUCUGACGGAGCAACGCCGCGUGAACGAAGAAGGCCUUCGGGUCGUAAAGUUCUGUUGUUAGGGAAGAACAAGUACCAGAGUAACUGCUGGUACCUUGACGGUACCUAACCAGAAAGCCACGGCUAACUACGUGCCAGCAGCCGCGGUAAUACGUAGGUGGCAAGCGUUGUCCGGAAUUAUUGGGCGUAAAGCGCGCGCAGGUGGUUCCUUAAGUCUGAUGUGAAAGCCCACGGCUCAACCGUGGAGGGUCAUUGGAAACUGGGGAACUUGAGUGCAGAAGAGGAAAGUGGAAUUCCAAGUGUAGCGGUGAAAUGCGUAGAGAUUUGGAGGAACA
rnacentral:rRNA from 1 species